GAUGAACGCUGGCGGCGUGCUUAACACAUGCAAGUCGAACGGAAAGGCCCAAGCUUGCUUGGGUCCUCGAGUGGCGAACGGGUGAGUAACACGUGGGUGAUCUGCCCUGCACUUCGGGAUAAGCCUGGGAAACUGGGUCUAAUACCGGAUAGGACCACUUCUUGGAUGUUGUGGUGGAAAGUUUUUUCGGUGUGGGGUGAGCUCGCGGCCUAUCAGCUUGUUGGUGGGGUAAUGGCCUACCAAGGCGUCGGCGGGUAGGCGGGCUGGGAGGGUGUACGGGCAAAUUGGGGCUGGGGUACGGCCCAGGCUCCCACGGGGGGCAGCAGGGGGGAAUAUUGGACAAAGGGCGGGAGGCUGAUGCAGCGACGCCGGGUGGGGGAUGACGGGCUUCGGGUUUGAAACUCCGUUCGCUAGGGACGAAGCGGUGUGUGACGGUACCGGGAGAAGAAGCACCGGCUAACUACGUG
rnacentral:rRNA from 1 species